UGCGAAUGCUGACAUAAGUAACGAUAAUGCGGGUGAAAAACCCGCACGCCGGAAGACCAAGGGUUCCUGUCCAACGUUAAUCGGGGCAGGGUGAGUCGACCCCUAAGGCGAGGCCGAAAGGCGUAGUCGAUGGGAAACAGGUUAAUAUUCCUGUACUUGGUGUUACUGCGAAGGGGGGACGGAGAAGGCUAUGUUGGCCGGGCGACGGUUGUCCCGGUUUAAGCAUGUAGGCGGAUGUUCCAGGUAAAUCCGGAACGU
rnacentral:rRNA from 1 species